UGUUGGAAAAUUUUAUCCAUUUCUACCGUUAAAAAUUGGCAUGGUUGACAAAAUAACCAAACAGUGACUCGUGACGUACCAUGUGUAGCUCAUGUUGACGUACAUGAACUAAUUUUUAACAGUAGAAAUAAAUAAAAUUUUUAAUA
rfam:Gossypium hirsutum cultivar TM-1 unplaced genomic scaffold scaffold1659.1, whole genome shotgun sequence